AACAAACUUGUCAGUGCGCAUAAAGAACGGAGACGACGAGAAGACUCCGGGAAGGUGAAAUGAGGUUGUUAGUAGAGAGAAGACCUUUCGGAGAAUUUUCAUGGCAGUUGCAUUUACUUCAGUGGAAAGACAGUGCAUUGCCUUUCAGUUCAAUGAAGCAAUCAUGUAGCUGGGGGCAAUGUUUUUGGGUGAGUCUCUAGGGGAGAGAGAGGUGGCACAGGGGGAUUCAUAGUGCACGUCAUACAUUAGCGUGAUGGGCUUGUGAUUGUACCAAUUUGAUGCUGAUACAUGACCGGUGGUCAAUAAGGUGAUCCCUGGCCUCCGUAAGGCCAAUAAUCUGCCCCUUCCCCCAUCUUGUGACAUCCAAGGGACUCAAAAAUACUUUGAUACCAGUUCCUGAGAUCAAUCUCUAUCAGUAGACAUUUGAUGUGAACUUUAUUUCUUUUAAGAAACAGUUAAGAGCCAUGCGUCUAUAACAUGCUCUAGACGGAGCUGAGGGGCUUUGCAGUGCACAUGUGAUACACUG